UACGUAGGGCGCAAGCGUUGUCCGGAAUUAUUGGGCGUAAAGAGCUCGUAGGCGGUCUGUCGCGUCCGUUGUGAAAACUCGAGGCUCAACCUCGGGCUUGCAGUGGAUACGGGCAGACUAGAGUGCGGUAGGGGAGACUGGAAUUCCUGGUGUAGCGGUGGAAUGCGCAGAUAUCAGGAGGAACACCGAUGGCGAAGGCAGGUCUCUGGGCAUGUCCUGACGCUGAGGAGCGAAAGUGUGGGGAGCGAACAGG
rnacentral:rRNA from 1 species